rnacentral:rRNA from 1 species
UAUUGGGAUUCGACUAAGCCAUGCGAGUCGUGAGGGUUCGGCCCUCGGCGAACGGCUCAGUAACACGUAGAUAAUUUGCCCUUAGGUGGAGGAUACCCUCGGGAAACUGAGAAUAAUACUCCAUAGAUUUAGAAUGCUGGAAUGCUUUUAAAUUGAAAGAUUUAUCGCCUAAGGAUAAGUCUGCGGACUAUCAGGUCGUAGUUAGGGUAAAUACCUGACUAGCCUACGACGGAUACGGGUUGUGAGAGCACUAGCCCGGAGAUGAUAUCUGAGACACGAUAUCAGGCCCUACGGGGCGCAGCAGGCGCGAAAACUUCGCACUGUGCGAAAGCACGACGAGGGAAUCCCAAGUGCUGGCUCGUAAGAGUCAGCUGUUUCUUUGUCUAAAAAACAGAGAGAGUAAGAGCUGGGUGAGGCGGGUGCCAGCCGCCGCGGUAAUACCUGCAGCUCAAGUGGUGGCCGCUAUUAUUGGGCCUAAAACGUCCGUAGCCGGUUCUAUAAAUGCCUGGGUAAAUCGUACGGCUUAACCGUACGAACUCCGGGUAGACUGUUCAACUUGGGACCGGGAGAGGCUAGAGGUACUCCUGGGGUAGAGGUGAAAUUCUGUAAUCCUAGGGGGACCACCA